rnacentral:tRNA from 1 species
UGUCAGAUUAGCAAAGAUUAAUGCAAUUGAUUUAGGAUCAAUAGAGAUAGGUGAAAAUCCUUUAUUUGAUAU